UACAUGCAAGUCGAACGGUAACAGGUCGAACCUAGUUUGAUGCUGACGAGUGGGCACGGGUGAAUAACGCGUACGCAACCUACCCUCAAGAGGGGGAUAGCCCUGGGAAACUGGGAUUAAUACCCCAUGUGGUCAUAUAGUGGCAUCGCUGUAUGAUUAAAGUGUUAGUGCUUGAGGAUGGGCGUGCGUUCUAUUAGGCAGUUGGUGAGGUAACGGCUCACCAAGCCGAUGAUAGAUAGGGGGCGUGAGAGCGUGGUCCCCCACACGGGUACUGAGACACGGACCCGACUCCUACGGGAGGCAGCAGUAAGGAAUAUUGGUCAAUGGACGCAAGUCUGAACCAGCCAUCCCGCGUGCAGGAUGACGGCCCUAUGGGUUGUAAACUGCUUUUAUAGAAGACGAAACCCCUGGAUUCAUCUGGGGCUGACGGUAUUCUACGAAUAAGCACCGGCUAACUCCGUGCCAGCAGCCGCGGUAAUACGGAGGGUGCAAGCGUUAUCCGGAAUCACUGGGUUUAAAGGGUGCGUAGGCGGCCUAAUAAGUCAGAGGUGAAAGCUCGGCGCUUAACGUCGGAAUUGCCUUUGAUACUGUUGGGCUUGAAUCAGGUUGAGGUAAGCGGAAUGUGACAUGUAGCGGUGAAAUGCAUAGAUAUGUCAUAGAACACCAAAUUGCGAAGGCAGCUUACUGGACCUGUAUUGACGCUGAGGCACGGAAGCGUGGGGAGCGAAACAGGAUUAGAUACCCUGGUAGUCCCACGCCCUAAACGAUGCUAACUCGAUGUGUGA
rnacentral:rRNA from 1 species